rnacentral:miRNA from 1 species
UUGCCAACCCCGCCCAUU